rnacentral:rRNA from 1 species
AUCGAACGCUGGCGGCAGGCUUAACACAUGCAAGUCGAACGAGCGGCGGACGGGUGAGUAAUGUAUGGGGACUGCCCGAUAGAGGGGGAUAACUACUGGAAACGGUGGCUAAUACCGCAUACUAUCGGAUAACCCAUAUGGGAUUAGCUUGUAGGUGGGGAAAAGGCUCACCUAGGCGACGAUCUCUAGCUGGUCUGAGAGGAGGAUCAUCCACACUGGGACUGAGACACGGCGCAGACUCCUACGGAGGUAGCAGUGGGGAAUAGUGCACAAUGGGCGCAAGCAUGAUGCAGCCAUGCCGCGUGUAUGAAGAAGGCCUUAGGGGUGUAAAGUACUGUCAGCGGGGAGGCGUUACCCGCAGAAGAAGCACCGGCUAACUCCGUGCCAGCAGCCGCGGUAAUUC